AAAUCGUAUCAGACACAGUCUGGAAACAUGUGUUGAUAAAAAUGACGAGCUCCACGUUAAUGGCUGUUCUUAUAAUUGGAUUGCUUCAAGUAUGCACAGCCAAUCCGCUUUCUUCACAAGAAGAAAAAGAUCCUGAUUUUUCAGAGGCAGAAAAGAGAUCCAGCGAAACUAUUUACGGCAGAUCGUUUAGCUCGCGCAAAAAAUGCUGGAGUAUCUCAGUUGGUUGGAUGGAAGUCUUUCGGUGUGGCGCUUGAUCAAGUGAUGAAAUUGGAUGCAUUUUCCAGUGACCCAACAUUAGGGGUCUUCAAAAAUGCGGUUGGUACACGGACGUCAAAAUUGUUUCAUUUUCAUUAUUUUUUCGUUGCAAGGCUAAAUAUUGCGAAAUUUUCAAUCACACACAGAAUGACAUCUUAUUCUAAUUAUACCAAAACUCAGGAAGCGAACCUUCAGAAUUUAAUGGAAUCAGCAUAACUUAUAUGCCGAAGAAAGAUUCGGUUUCCUUUAUUCGUUACACGUUCUGUGACUUCGUUAGUGACCCGUAUUCGGCUUCAUUUGGCCCAAAUUUUGUUCCUAGCAUAAAACUUCGAUUGUUAAAAAUGUACGAUAGAACUUAUUCAGGCUUAUACCGUGUUAACCUUGCUAAACGAAUGCUGCAUAGGUACAGGCGCCAGAAUUUUACAUGAUAAAUAUGUCACUGGAUUACGCGAUGAUGAAUUUAACGAAUUCGAACAACAAUGGAACCACUUAGCAAAUACAAAUGAAGUGGAAUCAAUUAAAUAUUUGUGCGAUUUCCUGAAUUCAACGAAUACAUUCGACGACAACCAGUGUAAGAAAAUUGUUACAGACGUUGACAGUAAAUAGUAAAUCAUUCCGUGUUUGUAUUU